rnacentral:rRNA from 1 species
UACGUAGGUGGCAAGCGUUGUCCGGAUUUACUGGGCGUAAAGGGCUCGUAGGCGGCCGGCUAAGUCCGACGUGAAAUCCCCAGGCUUAACCUGGGAACUGCGUCGGAUACUGGCGGGCUUGAAUCCGGGAGAGGGAUGCGGAAUUCCAGGUGUAGCGGUGAAAUGCGUAGAUAUCUGGAGGAACACCGGUGGCGAAGGCGGCAUCCUGGACCGGCAUUGACGCUGAAUAGCGAAAGCCAGGGGAGCAAACGGG